CCUACGGGGGGCUGCAGUGGGGAAUAUUGGACAAUGGGCGAAAGCCUGAUCCAGCCAUGCCGCGUGUGUGAAGAAGGCCUUCGGGUUGUAAAGCACUUUCAGUGGGGAAGAAAGCCUUGGGGCUAAUACCCUCGAGGAAGGACAUCACCCACAGAAGAAGCACCGGCUAACUCCGUGCCAGCAGCCGCGGUAAUACGGAGGGUGCGAGCGUUAAUCGGAAUUACUGGGCGUAAAGCGCGCGUAGGCGGUCUGAUAAGCCGGUUGUGAAAGCCCCGGGCUCAACCUGGGAACGGCAUCCGGAACUGUCAGGCUAGAGUGCAGGAGAGGAAGGUAGAAUUCCCGGUGGAGCGGUGAAAUGCGUAGAGAUCGGGAGGAAUACCAGUGGCGAAGGCGGCCUUCUGGACUGACACUGACGCUGAGGUGCGAAAGCGUGGGUAGCAAACAGGAUUAGAUACCCCGGUAGUC
rnacentral:rRNA from 1 species